rnacentral:rRNA from 1 species
UACGGGGGGGGCAAGCGUUGUUCGGAAUUACUGGGCGUAAAGGGCUCGUAGGCGGCCAACUAAGUCAGACGUGAAAUCCCUCGGCUCAACCGGGGAACUGCGUCUGAUACUGGAUGGCUUGAAUUCGGGAGAGGGAUGCGGAAUUCCAGGUGUAGCGGUGAAAUGCGUAGAUAUCUGGAGGAACACCGGUGGCGAAGGCGGCAUCCUGGACCGAGAUUGACGCUGAGGAGCGAAAGCGUGGGUAGCAAACAGG